rnacentral:rRNA from 1 species
CUGAGUGGCAAACGGGUGAGUAUAAUGUGGGAAUCUGCCUUUUGGUUCGGAAUAACACGAGGAAACUUGUGCUAAUACCGGAUAAGUCCUUACGGAGAAAGUUUUAAUGCCAAAAGAUGAGCCCGCAUUUGAUUAGUUUGUUGGUGAGGUAAUGGCUCACCAAGACUACAAUCAAUAGCUGAUUUGAGAGGAUGAUCAGCCACAUUGGGACUGAGACACGGCCCAGACUCC